GACGAACGCUGGCGGCGUGCUUAACACAUGCAAGUCGAACGGAAAGGCCCUGCUUGCAGGGUGCUCGAGUGGCGAACGGGUGAGUAACACGUGGGUGAUCUGCCCCUUACUUUGGGAUAAGCCUGGGAAACUGGGUCUAAUACUGGAUAGGGCCAUGCUGUAGGUGGUGUGGUGGAAAGUUUAGUUUCGGUAAGGGAUGAGCUCGCGGCCUAUCAGCUUGUUGGUGGGGUAAUGGCCUACCAAGGCGUCGACGGGUAGCCGGCCUGAGAGGGUGGACGGCCACAUUGGGACUGAGAUACGGCCCAGACUCCUACGGGAGGCAGCAGUGGGGAAUAUUGCACAAUGGGCGCAAGCCUGAUGCAGCGACGCCGCGUGGGGGAUGACGGCCUUCGGGUUGUAAACUCCUUUCAGCCAUGACGAAGCCCUUGUGGUGACGGUAGUGGUAGAAGAAGCACCGGCUAACUACGUG
rnacentral:rRNA from 1 species